rnacentral:pre_miRNA from 1 species
UUUGUACUCCCUCCGUCCGAAAAAACUUGUCCCAAGCUUGUUGCUCAAAUGAAUGUAUCUAGCACUAACUUGAUGCUAGAUACAUCCAUUUGAGGGACAAGCUUUUUUGAACGGAGGGAGUAUCUU